rnacentral:misc_RNA from 1 species
AGUUGAGUUGAGUUGAGUUGUCCUUGUGUUGUAACAAAAAAAAAGUGAUGAUUGAAAAAUAUGGGAAACAUAUAUUAAUGUUAAGUAGUAGCAUUAUUUAAUAAAUUAUAUUGAAAUUCUUCUUUAAAUAUAAAUUUUUAUUGACAUAGACGGACUUGUGCAAUAUAAAAUUACAAAUUCUAGUUGAUUUAGGAAUAUAUCAGGAGUUGCUUAUAUUCAUUUAGCUAAUAGAAAUACGCAGUUUACCAUAAAUUCAUUGAAUCUUAG